rnacentral:rRNA from 1 species
GUCAGCUCGUGUUGUGAAAUUUGGGUUAAGUCCCGCAACGAGCGCAACCCUUAUCCUUUUGUUGCCAGCGUUCGGCCGGGAACUCAAAGGAGACUGCCAGUGAUAAACUGGAGGAAGGUGGGGAUGACGUCAAGUCAUCAUGGCCCUUACGAGUAGGGCUACACACGUGCUACAAUGGCGCAUACAAAGAGAAGCGACCUCGCGAGAGCAAGCGGACCUCAUAAAGUGCGUCGUAGUCCGGAUUGGAGUCUGCAACUCGACUCCAUGAAGUCGGAAUCGCUAGUAAUCGUAGAUCAGAAUGCUACGGUGAAUACGUUCCCGGGCCUUGUACACACCGCCCGUCACACCAUGGGAGUGGGUUGCAAAAGAAGUAGGUAGCUUAACCUUCGGGAGGGCGCCUACCACUUUGUGAUUCAUGACUGGGGUGAAGUCGUAAC